rnacentral:rRNA from 1 species
UCCUUACCGGGAAGAGCAGUAGGGAAUCUUCCACAAUGGGCGAAAGCCUGAUGGAGCAACGCCGCGUGAGUGAAGAAGGUUUUCGGAUCGUAAAACUCUGUUGUAAGGGAAGAACAAGUACAGUAGUAACUGGCUGUACCUUGACGGUACCUUAUUAGAAAGCCACGGCUAACUACGUGCCAGCAGCCGCGGUAAUACGUAGGUGGCAAGCGUUGUCCGGAAUUAUUGGGCGUAAAGCGCGCGCAGGCGGUCCUUUAAGUCUGAUGUGAAAGCCCACGGCUCAACCGUGGAGGGUCAUUGGAAACUGGGGGACUUGAGUGCAGAAGAGGAAAGUGGAAUUCCAAGUGUAGCGGUGAAAUGCGUAGAGAUUUGGAGGAACACCAGUGGCGAAGGCGACUUUCUGGUCUGUAACUGACGCUGAGGCGCGAAAGCGUGGGGAGCAAACAGGAUUAGAUACCCUGGUAGUCCACGCCGUAAACGAUGAGUGCUAAGUGUUAGGGGGUUUCCGCCCCUUAGUGCUGCAGCUAACGCAUAAGCACUCCGCAUUGGGGA